rnacentral:lncRNA from 1 species
AUCCGGCUUCAGCGCUCCGUGCGUCCGGCCCAGGUAACAACUUCCCCAAAAACCGAAAGAGAAAAGCGCGAGGCGCACGCACACCGGCCCAUCCCGGCGCAGAGACCUCGUCUGCCCCGGGAGGGGGAUCUGUCUGUGGUGCUUCCCGGUCUCUAAGCCCAGGUAACAACUCCGCAAACACACCCGCCGCCCAGCUCGCCCCCAUCCGCGCGGCUCCCGGCGGCGUUAAGUGGGUACCUUUCCUGCCUUGUUCCCCGCGCCGCCCCGCCGCGCCCCGCCAAACGUGGACCCCACUCGCGGGGCUCGCCGCGGAGUCCCCAGGCCGGGGCUCUGGGCCGGGCAGCGGGAGGCGCCAGGGAGGAGGGGCGCUUAGGGACCCGCGCCCCCGCGCCUCUAAUCCCCGUUACGCGAGCGCGCCCGGCCCGCGGGUCCCAACUUUACCGCCGCCGGCCGAACCCUGUCCGCCCGCGGCGCGCACAGCCGGCGCCCGCGCACACGCGCGCACAAACCCCACGCAACCCGCGGCCGCCCCGUCCCGCCGCCGCCGCAGCCCGCCUGCCGCGCGCCCACAGCCCGGCCCGAGUCGCGGGGCCCGAGCGACAGCGACGGCGCCGGCCGGGGCCGCGGCGCGCGGAAGCCACUUUGCACGGUCAGCGCCGGGCACAAGUUUGUUCCGCGGCUCCCGGGGGCCUGGGCGCUGAGGGAGAAUCGCGCUGAGGGGGCCAGGAGGAGGGGGAGAGGGAGGCGCCGAAGGGCACAAGAGUGGGGAAAAGUGCGGAAAGAAGCAACAGCCGCUCCACCCGGGACCAGAAAAGUGGCCAGUGCGUCCCGGCCGCCCGCCCUGCGCCGGGGAUGCGGCGGCGUCGGCGCCGGCUAACGGUCCAGGGAGGCGGCAGGGGCGGCGGGAGCCGCUAGGCGGAGAGAGACCAGGGACGCCUGGUUUCCCCCCAAGCGAACCGGGAUGGGAAGUGACUUCAAUGAGAUUGAACUUCAGCUGGAUUGAAAGAGAGGCUAGAAGUUCCGCUUGCCAGCAGCCUCCUUAGUAGAGCGGAAUGAGUAAUACCCACACGGUGCUUGUCUCACUUCCCCAUCCGCACCCGGCCCUCACCUGCUGUCACCUCGGCCUCCCACACCCGGUCCGCGCUCCCCGCCCUCUUCCUCGCGUAGAACCGUGGGAUCCUAGGUGGCAGGACUCAGAGCUAAGGUAUCCACAGGCCAUGAAUUCCUUCCUAAAUGAGCGGUCAUCGCCGUGCAGGACCUUAAGGCAAGAAGCAUCGGCUGACAGAUGUGAUCUCUGAACCUGAUAGAUUGCUGAUUUUAUCUUAUUUUAUCCUUGACUUGGUACAAGUUUUGGGAUUUCUGAAAAGACCAUACAGAUAACCACAAAUAUCAAGAAAGUCGUCUUCAGUAUUAAGUAGAAUUUAGAUUUAGGUUUCCUUCCUGCUUCCCACCUCCUUCGAAUAAGGAAACGUCUUUGGGACCAACUUUAUGGAAUAAAUAAGCUGAGCUGUAUUUCAAGUAAUAUAGUUAUAAAUUAACAAUGUAGCAGUUAUUGAUAGAGAAAUUGAGAAAACUGAAACGUGACCGGAGUAUUGGAAAUAACGUAGUACAUCACCUAGCACAAUGACACAUAGUAGGUGCUCAAUAAAUUUAUGCUUAUAAUUUUU